AUUGUAGGGUUGGUUAAAGAUUCGUCUGCAGCUCAGAAAUGGAUUGCUAACAGACCAUCAGUUGUUGGAAAUAAACACUAUUAAUGUAGUGGGUAUGAAAGAUAAGGAAAUAUCGAAAGUGAUUGACAACAGCCCUUCUGUUGUGAACAUCACAAUUAUUCCACACUAUAUAUACCACCACAUGAUAAGCAAGAUGUCCUCUUCACUCUUUAAGGAUUUGGAUCGCACACCGCUGUGUAAAGAAAAA